rnacentral:rRNA from 1 species
UGGGGAAUAUUGGACAAUGGGCGAAAGCCUGAUCCAGCCAUGCCGCGUGAGUGACGAAGGCCUUAGGGUUGUAAAGCUCUUUUGGCGGGGAAGAUAAUGACGGUACCCGCAGAAUAAGCUCCGGCUAACUUCGUGCCAGCAGCCGCGGUAAUACGAAGGGAGCUAGCGUUGUUCGGAAUCACUGGGCGUAAAGCGCACGUAGGCGGAUUGUUUAGUCAGGGGUGAAAUCCCGGAGCUCAACUUCGGAACUGCCUUUGAUACUGGCAAUCUCGAGUCCGAUAGAGGUGGGUGGAAUUCCUAGUGUAGAGGUGAAAUUCGUAGAUAUUAGGAAGAACACCGGUGGCGAAGGCGGCCCACUGGAUCGGUACUGGCGCUGAGGUGCGAAAGCGUGGGGAGCAAACAGGAUUAGAUACCCGCGUAGUCCCUGAGCGGGCUGGCAAGGCGCAU